UACAGAGGGGGCGAGCGUUGUUCGGAAUUACUGGGCGUAAAGGGCGCGUAGGCGGCCAACUAAGUCGGACGUGAAAUCCCCUGGCUCAACCAGGGAACUGCGUCCGAUACUGGAUGGCUUGAAUCCGGGAGAGGGAUGUGGAAUUCCAGGUGUAGCGGUGAAAUGCGUAGAUAUCAGGAGGAACACCGGUGGCGAAGGCGGGUCUCUGGGCAGUAACUGACGCUGAGGAGCGAAAGCGUGGGGAGCGAACAGG
rnacentral:rRNA from 1 species